rnacentral:rRNA from 1 species
GUGUCAGCCGCCGCGGUAAUACGUAGGGUGCGAGCGUUGUCCGGAUUUAUUGGGCGUAAAGAGCUCGUAGGCGGUUUGUCGCGUCGGCCGUGAAAUCUCCACGCUUAACGUGGAGCGUGCGGUCGAUACGGGCAGACUUGAGUUCGGUAGGGGAGACUGGAAUUCCUGGUGUAGCGGUGAAAUGCGCAGAUAUCAGGAGGAACACCGGUGGCGAAGGCGGGUCUCUGGGCCGAUACUGACGCUGAGGAGCGAAAGCGUGGGGAGCGAACAGGAUUAGAUACCCUGGUAGUCCACGCUGUAAACGUUGGGCGCUAGGUGUGGGCGACAUCCACGUUGUCCGUGCCGUAGCUAACGCAUUAAGCGCCCCGCCUGGGGAGUACGGCCGCAAGGCUAAA